CCCUUAGAUGUUCUGGGCCGCACGCGCGCUACACUGAUGCAUUCAACAAGCCUAGCCUUGACCGAGAGGUCCGGGUAAUCUUUGAAACUGCAUCGUGAUGGGGCUAGAUUAUUGCAAUUAUUAAUCUUCAACGAGGAAUGCCUAGUAAGCGUGAUUCAUCAAAUCGCGUUGAUUACAUCCCUGCCCUUUGUACACACCGCCCGUCGCUCCUACCGAUUGAAUGUGUUGGUGAGGAGCUCGGAUUGGCAGCAGUUGGUGGUUCGCCACCGGCUAUUGCUGAGAAGUCCUCCAAACCGCCCCAUUUAGAGGAAGGAGAAGUCGUAACA
rnacentral:rRNA from 1 species